CAAUAGCGUAUAUUAAAGUUGUUGCAGUUAAAAAGCUCGUAGUUGGAUUUCUGGUGGGAGGGAUCGGUCUGGCGCUUAGCGCGAGUACUUGCAUCGUCUCCGGCCAUCCUUGGGGAGAGUCUGUCUGGCAUUAAGUUGUCGGGCAGAGGAUCCUCAUCGUUUACUGUGAAAAAAUUAGAGUGUUCAAAGCAGGCUUAUGCCGUUGAAUAUAUUAGCAUGGAAUAAUAAGAUAGGACUUUGGUACUAUUUUGUUGGUUUGCGCACCAAAGUAAUGAUUAAUAGGGACAGUUGGGGGUAUUCGUAUUCCGUUGUCAGAGGUGAAAUUCUUGGAUUUACGGAAGACGAACUACUGCGAAAGCAUUUACCAAGGAUGUUUUCAUUAA
rnacentral:rRNA from 1 species